rnacentral:rRNA from 1 species
GACGAACGCUGGCGGCGUGCCUAAUACAUGCAAGUCGAGCGAAGUUUUUCUGGUGCUUGCACUAGAAAAACUUAGCGGCGAACGGGUGAGUAACACAUAAAGAACCUGCCUCAUAGACUGGGACAACUAUUGGAAACGAUAGCUAAUACCGGAUAACAGUAUUUCUCGCAUGAGAGAUAUUUAAAAGUUGGUUAUGCUAACACUAUGAGAUGGCUUUGCGGUGCAUUAGCUAGUUGGUGGGGUAAAGGCCCACCAAGGCGACGAUGCAUAGCCGACCUGAGAGGGUGAUCGGCCACACUGGGACUGAGACACGGCCCAGACUCCUACGGGAGGCAGCAGUAGGGAAUCUUCCGCAAUGGGCGAAAGCCUGACGGAGCAACGCCGCGUGAGUGAAGAAGGAUUUCGGUUCGUAAAGCUCUGUUGUUAGGGAAGAAUGGAUAUGUAGUAACUAUACAUGUAAGAGACGGUACCUAACCAGAAAGCCACGGCUAACUACGUG